rnacentral:rRNA from 1 species
CUUCACCCCAAUCACCGACCAUACCUUAGGCGCCUCUCUCCCUUGCGGGUUGAUGUAGCGACUUCUAGUACAACCGGCUUUCGUGAUGUGACGGGCGGUGUGUACAAGGCCCGGGAACGUAUUCACCGCGGCGUGCUGAUCCGCGAUUACUAGCGAUUCCAACUUCAAGCAGGCGAGUUGCAGCCUGCUAUCCGAACUGAGACCGGCUUUAUCCGAUUAGCUCCACCUUACGGUUUUGCGACGGUUUGUACCGGCCAUUGUAGCACGUGUGUAGCCCCAGACAUAAAGGCCAUGCUGACUUGACGUCAUCCCCACCUUCCUCCGGUUUAUCACCGGCAGUCUCUGCAGAGUGCCCAGCUUAACCUGAUGGCAACAGCAGACAAGGGUUGCGCUCGUUGCGGGACUUAACCCAACAUCUCACGACACGAGCUGACGACAGCCAUGCAGCACCUCUACGAGUGUCCUUGCG